CCACAGCUCAGGGGCUCUUGCUGGGCCCCUCUCCUCUCAGUCCUGUGCACCUCCUGCAUGCAUGGGAACUGCUGGAUCUUCUGGGAAGCCCAUGACCUCAGCCCUCGGGGCAUGUGGAGGAAGGUACAAUGUCUCCAGAAUGUGAAAUCUUGCCAAAUUUCCAUUGGAAGGUCAGUUCUCAUAAAUACUGUGAGGAAAGAGCCAGGCUGGAGUGCAAUGGUGCAAUCUCGGCUCACUGCAACCUCUGCCUCCCAGGUUCAAGCAAUUCUCGUACCUCAGCCUCCUGAGUAGCUGGGACGACAGGUACAUGCCACCAUGCCCAGCUAAUUUUUGUAUUUUUACUACAGAUGGGGUUUCACCAUGUUGGCCAGGCUGGUCUUGAACUCCUGGCCUCAAGUGAUCCACCCACCUCGGCUUCCCCAGAGUACUGGGAUUACAAGUACUGGGAUUACUGGGCCACCACACCUGGGUGGCCCACCACACCUGGCCCAUAUUUUUAAACUGAAGUUGUCGUUGUUGCCAUAUCUUGUGGCCAAUCCACUCAUCUGAAUUUUCUGCCAAAUGCAGUGGGCUGAAUGAAAAAAAAUAAACUGCAUUGGAACCCAGGAGGCGGAAGUUACAGUGAGCCAAGAUUGCACCACUGCACUCCAGCCUGGGUGACAGAGGAAGAAACCCUCUCAAAUAAAUAAAUAAAUGUGAUAAUUGCCUAAAAACAAGAACCUAGCCAUGUGGGCAGCUUUCCAUGGUAUGAUGCUUUUGAGAAAAUGGUUGGAUUGCAAGGCAAAUAAUUAUAGGCAUUUCAUCACUAAUUGUCCAUAUUCCCACCUCCCACAUACCAACUCUAGAUUUAUGGACACUGAGUCACAAAUGGCUGCCAUAUACUUCGCCUUUUGAGCUAGUCUGGUGGCAGAACACCUCUCUCCUGAUAUUCAAGGACCUGUCUCCAGGUCGCUUCAGUUCCUUGUCUUGCCUCUCGCAAUGGGCUUUCUGCUGACCAAGCCCAUUGACUCAUGGGCGUAGCCGACUAAAGCACUCGGCCAGGUGCAGAGUUUUUGGGCAUUUCAAUGGUGGGGGUCUCCCCACAGCUUGCACUGCUAGUUUUUCUGUUUGUUCUUGAUGACGAACUCUCUACUGUUUAUACAGUAGCAGAACUCACAGAAGCAUAACUUACGUUUCACAGCCUCCAGAGUGGACUUUACAUAAACACGAUGUUUCUGUUAGGCCGGCUUUAUCUUCCCUCUAGAGUCUGUCAGUGGUGCUUUGGAGUAUUCGACUGGGCCACUGUGCAGGGUUGGGGAGUGGUGUCACAAGCCUUCCCUAACCCACCAUCUCUGACCUGCACCCCAGGGCAUGCACAUGAACGGAAUUCAUCUUCUUGGUUUGGAAAAGAAGGGGGUGACAUUAGUGGCGAAACCUCCGUGUAGAGCUCUCGCACCGCAACUCUGAGUCAUAGCUUACAUCGAUCAAGCACUCACUCUGAAGCAGGCUCGGGGCUAAACCUUCACAACCAUUGACUCUGUGCUACAGAGGAGACAGUGAUCUUCACAGAAGUUAGUUCCCAGAGGGCUUUCCCCAGCCCCACCAUUGGGAGCAGAGGGGCAGGGCUGAGCCCAGUCUCACUCGAGUCCUGCUCACACCUUCCUCCAGGACUGCACGGGCCACCUCGCCCAGCCCUCAUGGCAAUGCUGAAGGCAGGUGUGAUUCUCGCCAUUUUACCCAAGGGGAAAGGGAGGCACCGGGGGAAAGGGAGGCUGGGAGCGGCAGACCUCACAGCUAGGAAGUGGCCAAGGCAGGAAGAAGCCCACCGGCCUUUCAACACCAACAGAAUUCUUUCCUCAGAAGGAAUGAGGGAGGGUGGAGGGGUAAGGACAUGGCAUUUUUAAUCCUCCUGUUGGACUGGGAGGCUCUCAAGGUCAGGGACAGUGUCUGAUUCAGCACCCCACCCCCUCGGGCCCUCAACUGGCCCCACUCAGGAUGUCACAAGGCCCCGUGUGCUGCUGGAGGGGGUCCCAGGGUCGGUGACAGGCAGACCACAGCCUCUGGCCUGGAAGGAGGAGAGAGGGAUUGGCAGGCCCAUCCAGGCUGGGGGUCUGAGGAACUGUGAAUGAGGCCGUGAACAGAGACCGCUGGGGUCCAGCAGGCCUGGCUGCAGAAGGGAAGCUCUGCGCAGUGGAAGGCAGGACCCGGUGGCAGCCCUGGGAGCAGGCCCCGCUGGCCCCUGGGAGAAGACCUCCAUGGGCCUCAGCACGACACUCCUAGGCUGGCAGCCGAGGCCUGGUUCACGUGAUCCCUUGAUUUGUGUUUUCUGACCUUUCUUCACAGACACUCUAGGAAGCCUGGGGACACAGAGCCUGCCAGGGGAAGUCACACUCUCAUGAAAGAGCUAGCCAGCAAGAAACUAGAACCGUGGACAUGUAAGAUAGGCACAUGCGUGGCGAGUCCGAAGCGGGAAGCAAGCAGAGGGUGUGACAGAAUACUGAGGGGGCCAGGGAAUGGCUCUUCCAGAGGAGACUUCUGAGUGGGAGACAGGAGCAGGGGAAGGAGCAGCAUGAGCUCUGGGAAGAAGGCAUUUUUGGCAGCGAGCAAUGCAAGUGCAAAAGCCCUGAGGCAUGAAAAACACUAAAGAAUCUGUAGGAGGCCAAGGUGGCCAAGCAAAAGGAGAAAGAGGGACUCCGGCAAGAGAUGGGCAUUUCUCAGGACUGCGGUGGCAGGGAAAAGAGAGCCCCCUGAAGGACAUUCCACAUUCAAACCCCUGCCCUGUGGUGACCCUGCCAGGUGGCUGGGUCAGGAUCUUCCCUGUCAGGCCCAGGCCUCGUUUGCAUGAUGAUGGGAGUAGCUUCCCACGGUCUGGGCUCUCCUUCCCCAUGUUCUCCUGUUCCCCCAAUUCCCAUCACCCAGAUUCCAGGAGCCAGGACUGGUGUCUCCCCUACUGGAGGUUCCCAGAAAGUCUCAGAACUCCCACUGCAGUCCUGGGACACAGGGGCUGGGGGAGGAAGGAAAUUCUCACACAGCUUUCUCCCAGGGAGUUUGCUCUUGUUCCCAGGCUGACAACUGGCAACCCUCAGAACUCUGUUCCCCACCCCCUUCCUCCUCCUC
rnacentral:lncRNA from 1 species